AGAGUGGAUCUGAGCCAAGGAUGACUUGCCGGCAUAUGCUUUAAUGCAGUAUUUCAAUUUUUGGCUUUGUCGGUAGUUAGCCUUGGCUCAAAUUUGUUCCUU